AUGAAAUUUUUAAGGAUGCAUGUGAGUAAAUUGGACAUAACUUCCACAAGCAGCAGCAUGACUGAGUUUGAUAAGGUAGCUUUGGAGGAGGACAUCAACUCUCGUAUGAGUUCAGAAUUAGAGAAGCAUCUACAAUUCCCUGACCAGUUGCUCAUGCGAGAAUAUUUCAAUCGUGUGAAAAUAAGGAACCUUGCCAGGGAGUGUUGUAUUCAAGCAAAAAAGACUGGAGUCAUUCUUGUCGAAGAGUUUCUACCCGUACGAAAUUUGGAAGAACAGAUGUUACCCAAAAGUUGGCCCCAGAAUUUUGGACAACAGCUGUUACCCAGAAAUUUGCCCCAGAUGAAAAAGAGAGUUAAGCAGUCACUUGACUCAACCAGGGCUUACCUGCAUCGACAGGGCGCUACUCGUGCUAGCGGUUUGAAGUAUGUGGUUGGUGCAGUUUCUCUUGCUUGUAUCAUCAUGGCUGGCCAACGCGAGAGUAAGUAA
rnacentral:rRNA from 1 species